AUUGAACGCUGGCGGCAUGCUUUACACAUGCAAGUCGAACGGCAGCGCGGGCUUCGGCCUGGCGGCGAGUGGCGAACGGGUGAGUAAUACAUCGGAACGUGCCCAGUAGUGGGGGAUAGCUCGGCGAAAGCCGGAUUAAUACCGCAUACGACCUGAGGGUGAAAGCGGGGGAUCUUCGGACCUCGCGCUAUUGGAGCGGCCGAUGGCAGAUUAGCUAGUUGGUGGGGUAAAGGCCUACCAAGGCGACGAUCUGUAGCUGGUCUGAGAGGACGACCAGCCACACUGGGACUGAGACACGGCCCAGACUCCUACGGGAGGCAGCAGUGGGGAAUUUUGGACAAAGGGCGAAAGCCUGAUCCAGCAAUGCCGCGUGUGUGAUGAAGGCCCUCGGGUUGUAAAGCACUUUUGGCGGGAACGAAAAGGACUGUGCCAAUACCACGGUUCGAUGACGGUACCCGCAGAAUAAGCACCGGCUAACUACGUG
rnacentral:rRNA from 1 species